AUUGAACGCUGGCGGCAUGCUUUACACAUGCAAGUCGAACAGUAACAGGCCGCAAGGUGCUGACGAGUGGCGAACGGGUGAGUAAUGCAUCGGAACGUGCCCAGUCGUGGGGGAUAACUACUCGAAAGAGUAGCUAAUACCGCAUACGAUCUAUGGAUGAAAGCGGGGGACCGUAAGGCCUCGCGCGAUUGGAGCGGCCGAUGUCAGAUUAGGUAGUUGGUGGGGUAAAGGCUCACCAAGCCAACGAUCUGUAGCUGGUCUGAGAGGACGACCAGCCACACGGGGAAUGAGACACGGCCAAGACCCCCCGGGGGGGCAGGGGGGGGGAUUUUUGGAAAAGGGGCGGAAGCCUGAUCCAGCAGGGCCGGGGGGAGGAAGAAGCCCUUCGGGUUGUAAACUGUUUUUGUAGGGAACGAAACGGCUCUGGUUAAACCCCGGGGCUAAUGACGGUACCGGAAGAAAAAGCACCGGCAAACUACGG
rnacentral:rRNA from 1 species